GACACUAAAAUGAUCUCAGCCUCUUGCUCCAAUCAGCAACCCUAUCCUAUGAUUCCUAUCACUACACCACGCCCUCCGCCGUUCUUACCCUCCACAACGUUCGAAAACCAAGCUCUCAUCUCAAUCUCUGAAAGCAAGAACCUAGUGUCGUUACCCUCAAAUUCCAUCUCUAUGAACUGAACAACUACACCACAAUCAUCAAUUUCUGAUUGACGAUCCUCGCGUCGAACAUAUCUGAUCGGAUUCAAUCUUCGCAAACCCUAAACUCCUACAAUCCGUUCGGCAGCCCGAUUUCCCGACCAUAUACCUCACAAUACUCUCCUUCAACGCUUACAAAAAACCCAUUUACUUUGUUAGAAUUUCAGUCCUAGAUUACCUUAAGCUUCGUCCACCUCGAGUCAAUUUCUUCUCGGUGCGAGUCGAAAUCAAAUCCCCAAACAGAUGGGCUCCAAAAGAAAAAACCAAAGCAGAGAAUACACUCACAAACAACAAUAUACCUAAGGUCUCCUCACAUUAAUCUGCCAAAUACCACCAAAAUGUCGGGGUGUAUAACUAACAGUUUGAGAUCUUAAAUGACAAGNAGCUA